AACCAAAAAAACAAAACAAACGAACAAAACAAAACUAGACUCUUGUGCACUGUUGGUGGGAAUGUAAAGUGACUCCUGUGGACACAGUUUGCUACUACCUCAGAAAAUGAACAAGGAUCAUGUGACCCAACAAUGCUGCUUCUGGGUAGAUUCCUAAAAGAACUGACUCCCUACCCAGGUUCUUGUCAGCACAACUCACAGCUCACAGGUGAAAGCAAAACAAGUGCCCAGGAUAGAACUGUAAGCGCGUAUCAUGUGUGAUGCACAGUGUGGGUGCACACAUGUGUCAGGACAGGGUGGAACAGCACUCGGCUUGAGGAAGGAACAACUUUCCCACACGCUACAGCAUGAAUGGAACUUGAGAACACUGGGCCCAGUGAAACCCGACAGUCACAAAAAACCUGCUUAUGACACCGUGUACAUCCCGCAGCCCGGCAGCUCUCUGUCCAUGGUCUUCCAGGUCAGAGCCCUAUGGCCUGCUGCGGCUCUCACGGUCACAACAUCCCCAUGGUCACAACAUCCCCAUGGUCACAACAUCCCCAUGGUCACAACAUCCACAGCUCUCCAAAAAGUUCCAUUGGGUUCAGUGAAAAGCAAAAUGCGGAAAGAAUGUGAUUCAAGCAUGAAGAAUAAAAACCACCAGCCUCCCAUUUCCAACAAAAGACCCCCGUGGCAGACUGCCGCUGAGACGUGCUGGGCUGGGGUUUAUAUAGCACUUGGGUUAACGCUAUGGGUCCUCAUUUAUGCUAAUCGGGGUUUGAAAAAGAGCCAACGCUAUUGGUCCAAAUGUAGGCUAAUUAGGGUUUGGAAAAGUACUGAGGAUUGCUUCACCCUUGAGUGGGCCCGUCCAUUCUGGUCUGUCCCCACGUCUGUUUUCCCACCUCCCGCCUGCAAUCCCAGCUUCUCUAGAGGUUGAAGUUGGGAGGGGUGAAUGCUCAGCGUGGGCGGUUCUGAGCCGCAGUGCUGUGUGGAGCAGGGGUUCGCACCAGACUGGGACAGGCCACCACAGGGUGACAGGUCUUUGCUCCCUGGCUUGCAGCCUCAGCCCCCCACCGGCAUGGCAGGUUCCACACGCUGGAGCUCCGCUGCACGGCUUGGGGACAAGAGCUUGACUUCAGUUGGAUGUGACCAUUGAACUACAUUAUUACCAUUUAAUGCCACUGAACAAUAUGCUUUAAAAUAACCAAACAGAAAACUAUGCUAUGUGUAUCUUACUGCAAUACAAGAUAGCAAACUUAAAAAAAAUAAAAACAACCAAACUUGUGCACAGUCAGGCAAUGUACCCUUUCAACUUUUGCCUUGGAGAGGUGGUUCCUGUUUCUCACCUUUUACGUUUUUAAAAUCGGAGCUAGCCCUAGCCCUGAGACAUGCUUUGGCCAUUAGAAUAGGGUACAAGUGACAGUGUGCCCAUUCUGGACUGGGACUUCCCGCUCUUGCUCUCCUGGACCUCUGCCUUGGUGUGAGAAUGAGACCAGGCUGGCUUGCUGGAGAAUGGGACCUCAGGGAUAAGAGCCAAAGGGAGACCUGCAGAGAGCCAAAUGACACCCGCUGGUCCCCAGCCACAGUGGUCAGAGCCUUCCAUGCCCUCAGCUGUUCUCAGACCCAAAUGAGCCCAUCCAAGGCCAGAGCCAUCCAUUCAGCGACAGACUGGAGAACAAGGACAAGUGGCUGUUGUUUGGGGAUGGUUUGUUGCACAGUUUCUGUGACAGAGAUAGUUGAUGUCACCAGGUAUGGUAUAGCAGCCCUCAGACCCUGAAGACAUUCGGUUCCUACCUCCCCAACACCAACGGCAUGAGUGUCCUUCAGAAACCGAAGCCCUUCAUAACCACAUAUGGCCCAAGAACCAUGGGAGAAGCCAGGGGACAGGCCAAGGGACAGAGCAGCUGCAGGCCCACACACUGCCUCAGUCCAAGGCAUGGACCACGGACUACAGAACCUGUGUGAGCUGCAGGGUGACUCGGCUUUGCUUCCCUCCAUAAGACCCAGGUGACACGCUCCCCAGCUGCCAAGCUGCACAGCGGCAGAGAAGCGGGGGGUGCAGUGGAGUGGCUGCCAGGGUGGGCCAGAGGACCAGCAGCAAGUGCAGCAGGAGCCUGGUGGAGGUGCCCUUGCCUGGGCACUGUGCCCACGCCUGCUGCAGAAGCUGCUCCUGGCAGCCCCUGGGACCUCACCCUGCCACUUCCGGACCUGCCAGGAGACAAUGGAAAUGGGGCAGACUUGAAUGAAGGUUGGGACUCAGCAUUGGCCAAUAGCUUAAUAUGUUUCUAAACCCUAAUUAGCAUAAAUUUGGACCAAUAAGGUUAGCAGUUUCCAAACCCUAAUUAGCAUGUUUGGACUAAUAGCAGUGAUCCACGUGCUACAUAAACCCCUAAGCACUCGAGGGAGAAAACCUGCUAUUUGGUUCCCUUGUGGACUGUAAGAGUUUUGUUCCUAUCUUUCAAUAAACCCCGCUCUUACGCUCAGUUGGUUUGUGGAUUGGUUUGAAUCCACAAGAUAAGAAGCCAGAAAGAAGAAGGUGAGGUCGAGUGCCCGGGGUCUGCCAUAGCCCUGGGAGCAUGACCCAUGAGGAAGAACUACCACUUUUCUUGGGUGAAGAAGCCUGCAAUCUUCUGUAAUCCCCAUUUCCAGAGGAGGACAAGCUCCAGGGUGUUUGCCAGCAGAGUGGGGAACCGUUUUAUCUCUGAACUGUGCUUUAACCAUCCCUGGAGGGAAGACUGCAGCUCUGAGAGGCCAAGAAGAAUAUGCAUUAACAGGCCGGCGAGCGGGCUCCUCCAGUGCUCAGCAAUCAUUCCUGUAAACGCAGCCCCUGGGAAAACCAGGGCAGGCGGCAGGGCUCUGGAUGGCUGAGCCUGGGGAGGUUCCCAGGGGCGCUGUGCUGGGGAGAGAGCGGAAGCUCCCUAUCAAUUCUCUGCACUUUGUAAUAUCCUUUAUGACCAAGCAGUGAUUGUGAGCUUUCCUGCCUGAGUUCUGUGAGAAGUCUGAGCCUGUGAAGGAGGGGAGGGUGUCAUGGGAACUCUGAUUUAUAACUGGUGGCUCAGAGGCACAGGCAGAAAUCACCCUGGCUUGGGAGUGACGUCUCAAGGUGGGGCAGUGCUGGGACUGAGCCCCUAACCUGUGGGAUCUGACUCUUCAGCCCACUUGUCAGCAGAGACACAGACUGCCCCGGAGAAGAGCUCCGAGCUCGACUGCCGAGGCAGCACACAUUUUAUAGCAAGAACCGAAGGCUCAGCAGGAGAGAGAGCUAGCCACGGGGAACCCAGCACCCGUGCACAUUUUAUAUUUGAGAAGAAAAUGCAAAAGAACUAAUUAAUACUACAUAAUUAUGUUGAGGAGACAUGAAUAGGGUGAGUUCUUUAACUCUGGAAAAUGAAUUCUGAUUACUAAUCUCUUCAAUAGUCCUCUUGUAAUUCUGUAGAGUGAGGCUCUUCUGCAUGAUGAUUCUGUGUCCCUGUGAGGUCACAGAAUCCCAAGAUUAGAGCUGAAAGGGUCCUGACAGAUUACCAGACAAACCCCUCUGUCCCACAGAUGAGGAAACAAGGGUUCACAGAGGCCCUCUCCAAAAUUCAUUUAAUGUAAGGUACAAAGUGUUUAUUUGUUAGUCCCACAAGUAUUUAUCACAUGCCGACUGUAUGUAUUGAUAACCUCCUUUUGGCCAGGUACUCCAAAACGCACAAGUGAUGGAUAAUAGAAAUCAGACUGAAUAGGAGAGAGCUCAUGUAAGCAUAUAACUACAGCACAGUAAACUGUGUUUCGUGAACUGUGAGAAAUGGAGGGACCCACUGCUCCUGGCCUAAGAAAUAGCCUAGAACAGCAUUUCCUGACGUUGGCUCCAUGAAAUGCAAUGAUCUACACCAUUAGGGGUCUCCAGGGAGAAUGCUCUUGGCAAUAUAAGGUUAAAAUGCAGAAUGACUUACUUCUUGAAGACUCACAGUGCUCCUCACUGUGCUCCAGAGGUUCUGUGGUUAAAAAGUGCUUCGUGAAUUUAUCUGAGCUUGGAAAUGUCCCCGGCCGGACCUUCUUCUUUUGUUUUUCUUCUCCCUCGCCCUCUCCUCCUUUUCUGGUGGAGUGUUGCUGGUAUCUCACAGAAUAUUCGUGUUCUACAGGACUCUUGGGCAACUCUGAGGGAUGCGUGGACCAUCUCCCCGUCGGUGGCUGGGCUCCAUUAGCUGAGCGAGCAGUGUCUCAGGAGUCGGCUCAUGGGGUUUACUGCAGGUCCAAACCACGAUGGGAGGGAACAUCAUGGUGAAUUAAUGACAUCUCUUCUUUACACAUGUAGAGUAUCAAAGCUAUCAUGAAUAUAAAUCUGGGAAAAUUUAUUAUUCACCAGAAGUAAUUUGAGAUGUCAGAUAACAAACAAUUGCUUCCUGUUUUGCUCCAAUUGAUCUGCUUGCCUGGGGGAAGAAAUAAUCCAGGAUAAGGUUUCAGAGCAAACACAUGUUUGGGGAAAUUCUAUUUGCUGCCAAGAAAUGUGGCUAAGCCCCUGAGUGUAAAAGUCCUCCAUUUCAGUGAAAGUUAGAGACGGCAGUGCUGCUGUCUCCAGACACCCUGUCAACAUCAGAGCUACCCAUCAUCCCUGGGGCAGUCAAUCACCCAUCUUGUUUUUUUUUUUUUUUCCUGAAAAUUUCAUUGAGUUCAGAAUGACUGCAAUGCAUCUUUUCAUACUGUUUAACUGAAUUUAUUAUCUGCUACUGGCACGUGUCCUGGUAUAUUCAAUAUAUAAGUGAUACGUUGUAUAUACAUUUCUGCAGCCUUCCGAAAGUGCUGCAUUGCAGCAGUGAUGUUCCUGAGAUGGUGCUGGGGGAGCUGAUGGAUUGCCAGCCUGUGCAGCUCUGGAAAUCAAGCCCUUGGCUUUACUCCUACACGGCCCCACGCGGCUGCAGCUUAUUUUCUCAUCUCUGGGGUCUUUGCCAUCAGUUGUCGAUGGCCAGUAAAACCUGUUAGUCGGUAUGGAUAUCCCACACAGAGGUCUGGAAGAAAACCCUGGUGUGUUCAGAUCCCAGCUUUGCUGUAGCUGUCUCCAGAAAAGGUCCCUGUUCCCCAGGACUGGGCCCAGGCCCUGCUAUCUGCCCCCUCUCCCUGCCUCCCGGCUUCCCCGUCUGGCCCUGGCGGCUCAUCUUGUGGUCUCCUAGAGCCCCCAGCUCUUUCUCUGACCUCUCUUAGUAGAAGUCUCCACAUCAACUUUGCUGGUCCUGAGUGUUCUUCUUGGUGAUGGCACUUGCCUUGUCAUACUGCCUGUGUCCCCCUCAAUGGGUGAUGCGUUAGGUGAGAAGGGGGGCCAUGAUGCUCCUCUUGUUCAUCGUGGGACCCCAAUAGCCAACACAGAGCCCGAAUCCCAGACACAGACACCAUGAAGCGCUCUCCCUCCCCACAAGUCACGUGCCUGGACUUCUUCCAACCCAGGUCUACGUUCUGCUCCUCCAACAAGCUUCUGGAAUCUUCUUAGCACCCAGGGCCUCAGGUCCCCAGGACACAGGCGCAAGUGUGCUAGCCAGGCCAACGAUCCUGGGAUCCCAGCUUUUCUGUUUGAACUUACUGUGUUGUCCCCCAACAAACCCAGAGUGAGUGAGAGGGUGUGGGCUCAGCAACCCUCGUCCCUGACUCCCUUUAUUCAUCUGCCAGCUGUUAGUUCAAGUCCUCUUCCUUCACCUCUUUAUAACUUUAUCUUCUGCAUAAUAGCUUUAUGUCUUUUUGAGGUUAUGGGUUGCCUUGUGGUUUUGUCUUCAGUUUAUUUCUUUAAGCGUAACUUACAUGUUCUAGACCACCUUGUGAUCCUAAGGAGUGUCUUAUAAGCCCUCUGGAGAUGGGCUCAAGGCUCAGAUCAAAAGCACUAGGACUGUCAGCAUUGAUUUAUGUAGAAGAUGUCCUAUAUUCUCAACUUUUAAAAUGUUUUAUUUUUAAUUGACUAAUAAUUAUAAAUACUUGUGGGCUACCAUGUGAUUUUUGAUACAUUGUAUGGUGGUCAGAUCAGAAUAAUUAACAUAUUCAUUACCUCAAAGGUUGGUCAUUUCUCUGUGGUAAAACUUUCAAGGUUCUUCUAUUUCAGAAUAUACAGUAAUUAUUAUUGCCUCUAUUCACUCUCCUGUGCAUAGAACACCAAAAUUCACUCCUCCUGCCUCCCUGAGACUCUGGAUCAACCCCUCUGCCUCCCCUCUUCCCACGCCCUUAGGCCCUGGUGACCAGGCUUCUGCUGUCUACUUCUGUGGACUCCACAUACAAGGGAGGUACUGUUCAGCCACUAGAAGAGAUGAGAUCAGUCAUUGGUGAUGACAUGGGCAGACCUGGCUGGUGUUGUAUUCAAUGAAAUACAGGCACAGAAAGAAACAACGUUAGGUCUUCCUUACACUCCCAGUUCUCGAUCUGUUUCUGAAUCACCCUUGGAUAGGGAGCCACCGUAAUGACAGCACUAUAAAUGUUACGGCCACCACAGCUUCUGAUGACAACCUGAGUAUUCCCGAGUUUGCUUCCUGCCAAGCUCUCUGCUGAACCCUCUCCCUGCACUGUCUCAUUUAGACUUCAUACUAAAUAAACUUACUCAGGUAAGUAGUGUCCUCCUUCACAGGCAAGGAAACAGAGGUUAAGUGACGUGCACAAGAUCACGGAUUUGGCAGGCGGCAAACGCAGGUUUGUAUUUGGGUAGUUGAUGUUAUGGCUGAUCCUUUUAAUUACUGGCUUUAUUUCAGGAGAGGCUGUGCUGGAAACCGCCCACGUCCCAUCAUGGGGGAAUGUCCUGGACCAUCCGUGUGCCCGGACCCACCUCCAAAGAGCUAUCAGUGUCCUUUCUGCAGAGCAGGGAGUGGCCCUCGGUGACGGGGGACAGACUCUGUUUCCAUGCUGUACCUGUUCCCACGUCAGAUACCAAACGAUCCCUCUGUUCCUGGCUGCUCUCUCCUCUCAGUGGCAGACCAAGAAAUGUUGGGGCCACCUCUUUCUCCCUGACCCUGCACAUUUAAUCCAAUGGGAAGUCCAUUUCAAAACCCAGAAUUGGACCACUUCAUCCUGGGCCUUGGGGCCUUUAGCCUGGAGUGUGGAGCUGGCCUGCAUGGAUCCAGCCCUCCGCUCCCCUCUCCCGCCCUCCUUAGGCCUCUUGUGACCCCACAGGGCUUUUUAUCGACCCAGCAGCAGUCUUUAUAGUGGGAAUGGGUCACUCCAUCUCCAAACCUAGCCUGCAAGGCCCUUCCUGGCCGCCCGCGCCGCCCGCUCCCUGCUCCCACCUUCCUGUGUCCUUUCUCUGCCCCGAGUGGCUCUUCCCUGCCCUCAGCUGGGUCACGCUGCUCAACCUGAGGACCUGCACUGUGGCACGGCUGUCGCCCUGAUCCGCUCCCCGCAAGUCUUUCUCCAGGAAUCUCCACGCUGCACUCUUACCCCAGCACAGCACCCGCAGUGUUGCAGAGCAGGAGUUCAGGGCGGACCGUGUUUCCGACUUGAAGAUCAUGCUGUCUUCAGGAUUCAAAGAUGUUCCAGAUCCUCUGGUCUGAAGAGCCAUGGGCUGGUCCGGCCUUCCCCUGGCUUUAACCCGACCCCUGUUGUCACUUGUGCACCUGACUCUUUGUCACGGGAGUGAAGGUGCAGGCUUGGCUGCCGUCACUAC